rnacentral:rRNA from 1 species
ACGUAGGAGACGAACGUUAUCCGGAGUUACUGGGCGUAAAGGGCGUGUAGGCGGUAUGUUAAGUCUGGCGUGAAAGCUCUCGGCUAAACCGGGAGAGGUCGUUGGAUACUGGCACACUAGAGGAUGGUAGAGGCGUGUGGAAUUCCGGGUGUAGUGGUGAAAUGCGUAGAGAUCCGGAGGAACACCAGUGGCGAAGGCGACACGCUGGGCCAUACCUGACGCUAAAGCGCGACAGCAUGGGGAGCAAACGGGAUUAGAAACCCCGGUAGUUCAUGCCGUAAACGAUGCCAGCUAGAUGUUCAGUUCUCGCAAGAGAACGGGGUAUCGAAGCAAACGCGAUAAGCUGACCGCCUGGGGAGUACGGUCGCAAGGCUA